CCUACGGGAGGCAGCAGUGGGGAAUAUUGGGCAAUGGGCGCAAGCCUGACCCAGCAACGCCGCGUGAAGGAAGAAGGCUUUCGGAUUGUAAACUUCUUUUCUCAGGGAAGAAGAAAGUGACGGUACAUGAGUCAUAAGCCACGGCUAACUACGUGCCAGCAGCCGCGGUAAUACGUAGGUGGCAAGCGUUUUCCGGAUUUAUGGGGUGUAAUGGGCGUGUGGGUGGGAGCGCAAUGCAGAUGUGAAAACUCAGGGCUGAACCCUGGGCCUGCAUUUGAAACUGUGUGACUUGAGUGCUGGAGAGGCAAGCGGAAGUCCGGGUGUAGCGGUGAAAUGCGUAGAUAUACGGAGGAACACCAGUGGCGAAGGCGGAUUGCUGGACAGUAACUGACGCUGAGGCGCGAAAGCGUGGGGAGCAAACAGGAUUAGAUACCCCUGUAGUC
rnacentral:rRNA from 1 species